rnacentral:lncRNA from 1 species
UGAUCGCGGCGAGAGACGCUUUCGGAAGGUUGGCCUUCGAGGAGAUGUCUUCAUUUCAAGGGAAAACAUAUCAAUCUUUGAAUGAUGUAGUCCCCUUCUUUCGCGUUGCCCAUGGUUCGCGGAGACUUCUGUUGUGUGCAACGGCCCGCGGGCUGAAAUUUGUUCAUCUGGUUGUGUUCUUUUAGUGCCUCGUAGCAGCAUUUCAGGGGCAAAAAGCAAACAGACUACGGGGGGGGGGACGCCAGGUGCUAUAUCAUAGCAGUAGAACUGCCACACAUCGACUCAUUUGAAAUUAAAGCGUUCCACGAGCUUGUGGCCCACAGCCGCGACUUGAAAACGUUGCACGGUGGCACAACGCGUGGGGCAAUGCGAGCUCGGCGUACACAUGGAUACCAAAGCAAUAAACUCAGAUUAUUUCUGCCAGACGCCAGAGGACCAUAACCCCGGAGCCACACAUGGGAGCAAGUUGUUCGGCUUUAGAAUGGCAGGACGCCAGGGUAGCGUCGCGACACCCAACGUCCGUACUUGUUUCUCCCCUGCGUGGUACACGCCGACAACCAUCAAUUCCACCGGACUGCCCCGGGCUAGGGAGAAGCUCCUUCUAUUCUCACCUUAGUAGCGGCUCGCGUAUCCUUGCAGAUUCCAGUACGCAGCAUUUGCGCUGGCAGUACGCCAGUAUGUCGCUGGCGAGUUCGCGGUGCUUUCCCUGCCAUAGCUGGUUGCGUCGUACAAUUUGCCGUACGGUUUCCCGGCCUGGCGACGAGGCGACGAUCGUUGGGACCUAAUACCACAAGCUGUAGCGUAAGGAAACAUCCGAGACAGGUGUGGGUCCCCGUUCCCCUUUGGUUUCGGCCACGAUGACAUGAGAGCGAGCGACGCUGCUGCUCCUUCGUGGCCGGCUCUUUUUGGAGCUCGCGCACCGCUUAAUUGCAGUGGGGUUUUCUUGCUAGAGAAAAAUCGAAGUGUCAAUUCGAGCAUGAGACACGAUGAUGUGAGGCGUUGUGGAACAAGUCAUGAACAACCACCCCGGAACAGGCUGUGGAAGCCAAACACUCCGAGGGAGUCGAAGAAACAAGACGCAUAACUGUUUUGGACGCGGAAGUCGUCCGUAUUCAUCGGUUCACAGCGGUGGGCUUCUCAUGUGAGGCUAGGAGGUAAGACAUUCUUUCUCCUAUUCUCUGUUGAAAUCCUCGCCGUUUGAGGUGCGUUCCUGCGCCGACAAGCCUCCAAUAACAGCCAAAUCGACUCUGCGUCUAUGCAUGGAUUCGGUUCGGCUUCUACCUGCUGGCAGAUGUUCUGCAUCUUUUUGUCCUCGCCUCACGCCACCGUGUAUGGCGCCCGAGCAGCGUAUCCCGCUUUCCGCUAAUAUGAGCUUGGUCUGCGCUUCGCCGUCAAAGUUAUGGUACUCUAGAAAUUCAGCUGUCGGUUCCUGGAGGAAAUGCACAAUCUCACAGAGCAGCCAUUGGGCCUGCAAAGCGGUUUCACCAUACGAGAAAUUUCAUAACUAUCAUCGCAUUCGUCUAAUGUUCUAGGUAGUGCUAGCUUGUUUCAUGUGUUUCAGAAGCAUGUGCUGUUUGUGAACUGCACUCCAUUCUUGUCUGCCAUGAUCGCGCAUUUCGGUUGUCGCAAUGAACGCGUACGACGCAGUCCACUAUGAAACUCUAGCCGCCACUGCUGCAUCCUUAGGUGGCCAAGCAAGAUAUUUCCACCAAAAUACCAAUAAAGGCUGUGUGUCAAUUCUACCGGAGUGCCCUGGGAUAGGGAGAAGCUCCUUCAGUCCCCACCUUACUGGCCGGUUAGGGUUGAAGGUUGGGGUUUUUAGGGUUUCUAGGGUUUAUGGUUUAGGGGGGUUUAGGGUUUUAGGGUUAAGGGUUUUAGUGUUAGGGUUAGGAUUUUCAGGGUUUAAGGUUUUGGUUAGGGUUUAGAGUUUAGCUUAGGGUUUGAGGGUUUAGUUUAGGGUUAAGGGUUGUUUAGGGUUUUGGGUUUAAGGAUUUAGGGUUCUUCGUCGAGGUUGGUCGCGAGGCCCGGGACGCUGUCUCCGUCUGCCCGUCCUCGAUAUCAUAGUCUGGCGAAUUCCGAAACUGUUCGCUGAUUCCUGCAACCUGAGCCCGUACAGCCGCACCUCUGCCGCAGCUGGCCGCGAGGCCCCGGUCGGCGUGACGCGAGGACCCUCGUCUCUUGUCGCUCGGCUGGGCGCUUCCGCAGCUCGAGAGUCUCUCACAAGAGCUCGGCGCGCACGUGCUCCAGCUGAAAAAAAAAUUGCUCCGGUCGCGGAGCCCUGGCGCGAGAUGGAUCGCCUUCACGUGGGGAUCUGUCUCAUCUCGCGCGUCUUCCGACGCAGCGGACUCGUCUUCCUCGCGAGACGGCUCCGUCUCCGAGCUGGACGUCGCCACCUCAGGCUGCAGCUGGGACCCGCGAGAACGAGGUGGAAAGCUUGCGCGCGCGUCCCCACGAGGCCCAGACACGCUCCCGGCUCUCACGGCGCCCUUUCCUUCGGCUAUGCUUCGUGCGCUCUUCUCUGCAACCACCCGCUUAAAAUGCAGCGACUCCCGCGAGGGCGAGCACGGCGCGAGGGGCGACAGUGCCGUGGUCUCCAGGUGUGGAGUCAGAGACACAGACCCUGCGCCCCAUUGCGCGAUCUCCGAAGAGUGUCCCUGGGCAUCAGGCGGGCUUCGGGAAUCUGAAACCCCCCCAGGACUUUUACCUGAAGGCUGCACGCACGGCAGAGACGCGCACCCCGACCGGGCCGCGGUAGACGAAAUCGGUCGACUAUAAGCAAGCCCGAGGUCGCGCAGUCCGCGCUGCUUGACGGUCCUGGGGGCAGUGAAGCCAAGGACGCUGGAACGACUGCGGUCGCUGAGGGAGGGACCUGGCCAAAGUUCUUCACGCGCGAGUUGUACCGAGGGUGUUCAGCGUCUCCUAGCAGUACGACGUCGAUGACGAAACCGUGGCGAUCAUGACGCUACGGCUGCUGCAACCAAACAAAAACCUCUCGAAGAACCUGCACAAAAACACAUCCACAGCCCGCACGCGCAUCGCCCAACACAGCAUGCAAACGAAGCGAAGGAAAACGCGCACCUGCGGUCGGAUACCCUGUCACAGGCAGAUGUCGAUCUACAGGAAUGGAGCGCUGUAGGCGUGAAAGACUAAAUGCGCCGGUCCUCACUUUUCCGCAUUCUCUAAGCUGCACAUCUAUACGGGGAUAUGUCCACAUCCUUGCGUGGAGUCGGUGUGCAUAUAUAUACAUACAUGUUUGUGUGUAUUUGUGAAUGUGGUGUUUAUAUGCCGUGUUGAGCGAGUUUUUGUCAGUUUGGGAACCAUAAUUCUUCACCACAGCUCCGCGACACGGGGUCUCGUUCGAAUCCCGCAUCGAAUCGCUGUGUGCUGCGACGUCUGCUCCCCGCUCAGAGAGCACGCAUGUCGUCGGGACAGUGCGCUACCUUGGUCAGUUCGCUGUCUCUGAAGGGAAUGUGUCCUUUGUCUUGAGCCAUCGCGCGGGUGCACUACUUCAAAGCGAGGAGCGAGCGGUUGAUGCCUUGGAUGCCUGCGCCAUUUUGGUGGGUUUGCCUGCUGUGCUGGAGAGUGUCUGCGCCACGCUCGCUCCCCGCCAAGUCGAUGAAGGCGAUGCGACCUGGAAAGAGCGCGGCAAGUCGAGACGGUGGAAUCCUCGGCGAAGGGCAGAGGUGCGCGAUGCAGGGAGUAGACAACAGACAGCCUGAGGCCGAAAGAAGAGUGGGAAGAAAAGAGAACACGACACAGCGGCAAGGCAGAGAAGGGCGACAAGAGGCUGGAACACAGACACCGCAAAGCGACAGAGAAACAAAGAUGAUGAGGAACAAAAGAGGAUGAGAAAGAGUGCGAGGCAACAAUACUCGAGGGGAAGAAAAGCUGGAAGUCUACGACAGCUCCGUUGUUUUCUGUUUCUCCCUUACCGCACGGAUCGCCGGAAUUUCUCUUCCUGAGAAGAACUUGGACAACUGCGUGGGACCGUGAGGAUUCAUCGUUCACGGAAUUCGCACCUGGAGCGUACAAAACAACACGCUUUCGAAGAAGCGUCUUUUCCCAUUCAAAUCUGUGAAGGCAACUGGAGUGCUGGAG